AUGCAUAAAACCGCGGUCGUACUUCCUCCGCCAGCCACCAACCCACUCCGCCCCUCCCUAUUUCUCGCCGUCGCGUCCGAACACAGAGCGCAUCGACCGAUCGAACCAAUGGCGAUGGUGACCGCGAAGCUCAGCUCCCCGGCCACCGCCCGGCUCGCCCCCGUCCGGUCCGCGCAGCCCGCCCGCCGCGCCUCGCUCGUCCGCGUCCGCGCCUCCGGCGGCUCCUACGCCGACGAGCUCGUCUCCACCGCGAAAACUGUUGCUUCCCCUGGCCGUGGGAUCCUUGCGAUCGACGAGUCGAGUGCAACAUGUGGAAAGAGAUUGGCAUCCAUUGGUUUGGACAACACGGAAGUUAACCGCCAGGCUUACAGGCAGCUUUUGCUGACCACUGCUGGUCUUGGUGAAUAUAUCUCUGGUGCUAUUCUUUUUGAGGAAACUCUCUAUCAGUCCACUACAGAUGGCAAGACCUUUGUUGACGUCUUGAAGGACCAGAAUAUCAUGCCUGGUAUCAAGGUUGACAAGGGUUUGGUUCCAUUGCCCGGAUCCAACAAUGAAUCCUGGUGCCAAGGUCUUGAUGGUUUGGCCUCAAGGUGCGCUGAGUACUACAAGCAGGGUGCACGCUUCGCAAAGUGGCGAACUGUUGUUAGCAUCCCCUGUGGUCCUACUGCAUUAGCUGUCAAGGAAGCGGCAUGGGGACUUGCUCGCUAUGCUGCUAUUGCUCAGGACAAUGGUUUAGUGCCAAUUGUGGAGCCAGAGAUCCUUCUUGACGGUGACCAUGGCAUUGAGAGAACUCUCGAGGUGGCAGAGAAGGUGUGGUCAGAGGUGUUCUUCUACCUGGCCGAAAACAACGUUCUGUUUGAGGGCAUCCUGCUGAAGCCCAGCAUGGUUACCCCUGGUGCUGAGCACAAGGAGAAGGCUUCUCCAGAAGCCAUUGCGAAGAACACCCUCACAAUGCUGAGGAGGAGAGUACCACCUGCUGUCCCUGGAAUCAUGUUCCUCUCCGGCGGACAGUCCGAGCUGGAGGCAACCAUGAACCUGAACGCGAUGAACCAGUCCGCCAACCCGUGGCACGUGUCCUUCUCCUACGCCCGGGCACUCCAGAACUCGGUGCUGAAGACGUGGGAGGGGCAGCCCGAGAACAUCGAGGCGGCGCAGAAGGCCCUGCUGGUCCGCGCCAAGGCCAACUCCUUGGCGCAGCUCGGCAGCUACACUGGCGAGGGUGAGAGCGACGAGGCCAAGAAGGGCAUGUUCCAGAAGGGAUACACCUACUGA
rnacentral:rRNA from 1 species